GUUGUUGUUUUCGGUGUUGGCUCAGGUGAGGGUUGUUGUUUUCAGUGUUGGCUCAGGUGAGGGUUGUUGUUUUCAGUGUUGGCUCAGGUGAGGGUUGUUGUUUUCAGUGUUGGCUCAGGUGAGGGUUGUUGUUUUCAGUGUUGGCUCAGGUGAGGGUUGUUGUUUUCAGUGUUGGCUCAGGUGAGGGUUGUUGUUUUCAGUGUUGGCUCAGGUGAGGGUUGUUGUUUUCAGUGUUGGCUCAGGUGAGGGUUGUUGUUUUCAGUGUUGGCUCAGGUGAGGGUUGUUGUUUUCAGUGUUGGCUCAGGUGAGGGUUGUUGUUUUCAGUGAUGGAGCAGACAACUAGGGGAGUCCUGGAUGGCGUAGCGACGUGUCAACGUGUCAACAACGUGGCUCAGCAAAAGCUCUUUGACCUGCUGACAUGGUAUGACCCUUGACACAGAAAACACCAGAAACUGUGGUCAUUGGUCACCUGAAGUUUACCUAUGACACACAUCUGAUGUGAUUGUUUCAAAAUCAAAUCAAAUUUUAUUUGUCACAUGCGCUGAAUACAACAGGGAAAUGCGUUGUGUCUGCUAGGUGUGUGUGUUCUGAAGUGUGUUUUAUG